rnacentral:misc_RNA from 1 species
UCUCCGUAGGUGAACCUGCGGAGGGAUCAUUACAGAGUUCAUGCCCUAUCGGGUAGAUCUCCCACCCUAUGUUAUUAUUACUUUGUUGCUUUGGCGGGCCGUUAGGCUCCGGCCCGACUACCGGCCCCGGCUGGUAAGCGCCCGCCAGAGGACCCAAAACCCUGAAUAUCAGUGUCGUCUGGGUACUAUAUAAUAGUUAAAACUUUCAACAACGGAUCUCUUGGUUCUG